CGUGUGCUCUUCCGAUCUCAAAAACACAGGUAUCUGCAAAAUCGUAAGAUGACGUAUAGGUACUGACACCUGCCCGGUGCUGGAAGGUUAAGAGGAUAGCUUAGCGAAAGCGAAGGUUAGAAUUGAAGCCCCAGUAAACGGCGGCCGUAACAAUAACGGUCCUAAGGUAGCGAAAUUCCUUGUCGGGUAAGUUCCGACCUGCACGAAAGGUGUAAUGAUUUGGGCACUGUCUCAACGAGAGACUCGGUGAAAUUAUAAUACCCGUGAAGAUGCGGGUUACCCGCGACAGGACGGAAAGACCCCAUGGAGCUUUACUGUAGCUUGAUAUUGAGUAUUUGUUAAACAUGUACAGGAUAGGUAGGAGCCAGAGAAGAUAGGACGCCAGUUUUAUCAGAGGCAAUGUUGGGAUACUACCCUUGUUUGAUGGGUCCAGAGAUCGG
rnacentral:rRNA from 1 species